ACGCCUCUGCAGUGAGCCCAUUUGAUGGUUAAGCAGUCGCCACCCUAGACAGCUUGAUGCUGCUGUGCUCAAUCAGGUUCUAAAGAUUUCAGAUGCUUGCUGUUAAUGAACCAUUUGCUUAAUUGAUGGAGCAGGAGGAAAAGGGUUUACGGAAUUGGAGCAGAAUCCUGGACAGACUAUCGCUCCUAGAGACAACCAUCUUCAAGGGCAGGCUGCGGAGACCUUAAAGCAAUGAGGGCGCUUGCUGUUCCCCAGUCCUUGCCACCCCUCAGCCUGAGUAACUGACGGGUCUGGGGGAGGGCGGAGGCCGUGCAACCCAGCUCUGGACAAGGAGAAGGAAGACGAGGAGACUCCUGAGAAACGUUUUGUUCUCGUGCUUCCAGCGACAUAUCCACAGGAGGGAACACAGCAUAUUACACAGCCACUUCCAUGCUAACAGGGAAGACAAAUCCCCACCUAUAUUCAUUGAUGAAAUUAAAAGCCCAGUCACAAUAAAGUUUGCAAUAUAGGUGUAGU
ensembl:lincRNA 9430093N23Rik RIKEN cDNA 9430093N23 gene